GACGAACGCUGGCGGCGUGCUUAACACAUGCAAGUCGAACGGAAAGGCCCUGCUUUUGUGGGGUGCUCGAGUGGCGAACGGGUGAGUAACACGUGAGUAACCUGCCCUUGACUUUGGGAUAACUUCAGGAAACUGGGGCUAAUACCGGAUAGGAUCUCCUGCUGCAUGGUGGGGGUUGGAAAGUUUCGGCUGUUGGGGAUGGACUCGCGGCUUAUCAGCUUGUUGGUGGGGUAGUGGCUUACCAAGGCUUUGACGGGUAGCCGGCCUGGCAGGGUGACCGGCGACCUUGGGCCUGCGAUACGGCCCAGCCUCCAACGGGAGGCAACAGUGGGGAAUAUUGCACAAUGGGCGGACGCGUGUUUCCGAAGCCCCGCGUGCGGGAUGCCGUCCUUCUGGUUGUAAACCGCUUUCGCCUGUGACGAAGCGUGCGUGACGGUAAUGGGUGAAGAAGCACCGGCUAACUACGUG
rnacentral:rRNA from 1 species